AUCUUGCCCUUCCUGGUCGGCCAUAACAACAACGAUGGCGGCUGCUGCACGGUUCUUCAUCCGAGGUGCACACUCGAGGCUUUCCAUCUCCGGUGUUGGCACCGGGGUGCAGAGCUGCUUUGGCGCCACUCUGCUGAAACUGUCGCCGAGCUGCAGCUCCCGGACAAAAGCACAACGAAGACAUGCCACGCACUUUACCUUCCAGCCUGACCCCGUCUCGACACAAUAUGGACCCACCCAGAAGAUGAACUUGUUCCAGUCAAUUACAAGUGCCUUGGACAACACUCUCGCCAGUGAUCCAACAGCAGUCAUCUUUGGGGAAGAUGUUGCCUUUGGUGGAGUAUUCCGAUGCACAGUGGGUCUGAGAGACAAAUAUGGUAAGGACAGAGUUUUUAACACUCCCCUUUGUGAGCAGGGGAUUGUGGGAUUUGGUAUUGGUGUAGCUGUUGCUGGUGCCACAGCCAUUGCUGAGAUCCAGUUUGCUGACUACAUCUUUCCUGCUUUUGACCAGAUAGUCAAUGAAGCAGCCAAGUAUCGCUACCGCUCUGGCAACUUGUUCGACUGCGGCAACCUCACCAUUCGGGCUCCGUGGGGGUGUGUCGGCCACGGAUCACUUUACCACUCUCAAAGCCCUGAGUCCUUCUUCGCCCACUGCCCUGGCAUCAAGGUUGUGAUACCUCGUGGUCCAGUGCAGGCCAAAGGGCUGCUCCUCUCCUGCAUUGCUGACCAGAACCCCUGCAUAUUCUUUGAGCCCAAGAUUCUGUACAGAGCAGCAGUGGAGCAGGUUCCUGUGGAGCCCUACACCAUCCCACUUUCGCAGGCAGAGAUCCUACAGGAAGGAAGUGAUGUCACUCUUGUUGCCUGGGGGACACAGAUCCAUGUGAUGAGGGAGGUGGCCAAUAUGGCGCAAGAGAAACUGGGAGUGUCGUGCGAGCUCAUCGAUCUACAGACCAUCCUGCCCUGGGAUGUUGAAGCAGUUUGUAAGGUUUUCCAGACUCCACAUCCGGCCAGUGAGGAAUUAGAGGCUCGGCAGGGCCUGUCCGUAAUACAGUCAUUGGUUCUUUAACCACGAUUGGACACAGUACUCCCACAGCACCACAUACAAGUCCUGCUGGGCAACAGCUCAUCCACCCAGGAAACCUUAUGGACCCCCCCCUUCCCCUCAAGGAUUUUCUACUUACUAACUGGAUCUUUGCCCACCUUUAUCCCUCCUUGGCUGUCACUUUGGAUCAAGUCAAGUUGGAGCAAAAGGAACAUGUGAUCUGAAUUAUUUCACAUGUAACCCAUAUAUGGUAACUUGCGCAGUGGCCGUUGGAUUGCUUGGUUCCUGGUAUUGCUGCUUGCAGUGUUGUCGGGGGGAGUGCCAGUUCUGAGCGAGCCGAUUGCUUGAACAUGGAACUGCUGCUUGUAGCAUUGUCGAGGACCGCGAUAUGGCUGCCCGCUCCUGUCGACUUCACACUCAACACGGCACUCCAAUGGGUCUUCAGCAAUCCACCCACCAAGUGGAGUCAAUCAGAUGAACUCAAGAUAUGCACAUACACAUACAUAUAAACGGACAGAUUCUUUCCUUUAUAGACUUAUAAUGCUGAUAGAGUGCCACUUAUUUGGCCAAAUGGACAUAUCUACACAUGUCUACUAAAUGUGGUUGCAAUGGUACAGAGCUUUUAGGAGAUAUGACAUUUUUUUGUAAUAUAAGCAAUUUUAAAUUCAAAAUCUGGUGACGAUGGCUCAAAAUUACAGUAGCGAAAAAACUGCAAAUUAUUGGCACACAAUCAACAUACAUGCAAAUGGGCUGAACGAUGUGCAAAAAAUUAUAAUUUUGCAUUAUCUUGACAGAUAUUGCUAUGGUGAUAUAAAUCACAAUUUUAGUGGCAAUGGUAAUAUUUGCAAAAAUGAAAAACAAUGAUGUGGUGAUUUUUUUUAUUUUUUUUAUUUUUUUUGCUAUGGUCUGUACCAAACUACGUAGCAUGUUCCCAUGUCUGGUGAAGACGAUUUUUAAGCCCUGACAUCUCUGUAGUGCCAUAAGGCUUCAUUUAUAUAAUGGUAUGUUGUGACACAUUUAAGUUAUUUCAAAAAUCGCUGCUCCUACGAUUUGGAAAUUGCUCUUGGCAGUGUUUCGAUUUCCAUUAAUUGUUCAGCCCUAAUGGGCGUAGCUUAUAUGGAUCGAAUUGUCCACAGAAUCCAGGAAAGACUUAUUAUACCACUACCAUCUGGUCAAAUUGCACCAAAUUUGACACUCCCCUGGGUCCUCAGCACCAUACCAAGUGUGAAGUGGCCUGGAUGAACAGUUGCCGAGAAAAUAGAAGGAUGUACGGACGGAGAUUCCUUAUCCUUAUUUUUAGAUGCUUUUUUGUGAAAAGUCAGAUGAGGUUGUACCAUUGACGUUGUUCCAUUUGUUUCUGGUGCCUCCGCUGCCAGACUUGGGUAAAAAAGCCUGCAGGUGAGUCGGCAGAUUAGUUGAGUAUCACUCUUGAUCAGCAUUUUCCUGUGCUGAAAGCGAGCUGUGCAUUAUUGCACACCAUUCCCACAACUGACCAGAGCUGAAAGCAUACUUUCCUUCUUUUUCUGAUGAAUGUAUUCAACUAGUCCACUUUACAUAACUAAUACUUUUUGACAUCAAGAUGUAGUAGGCCAACAGUCUGUCACUGUAAGGAGUGGUCACAUCUUGUGGGGGGAUAAAGCUGUUUUUAUUUAUUGGUAUCUCUUUGUUACUCGCGGCGCUCAAAGCUGGGUCUGUUCCUAAUAUCUUUGCCAUUCUCACUCUCUAAGUGUUGUUGGACACAUCCUACAGAUGUUUGUUCAUUUCAACCACUGGGAGUAAGUAAGUCUUUGCACAUCCUUUUUAGCAAGUCUGUGCUAGCCUGUGAGUUUGCAAGUCCCAUCUGAUCCUAUAAAAGACCUGAAGUCAUACUCCAUCCAAAAUCUGUCUUAUGAGUAUUAAACACUCUCUCAGCCUCUGUGGGCUUUAAAGGUGGAUGUAAAAUGUUUUAGUUUGCUCCUUCUCGAACAUUGGCUGUGGCUGGGUUGAAUUCUUGUUUGUCCAUGUCUAUCAUAAUUCAUAUCUCUGCUGUCCUCCUGUAUAAUUAGACUGUGACCUUGUUUACUCAGCAUGCAAGGGUCUGGCAGGGUAAAAGUAGUCAGGAAGACCCCCUGUGUGGAAUUCUGUGAGGUAUCUAGACCUUUGAUGAAGACUUCAUGCAGAGAAGAUGGAUUGAAAAAUGAGAAUUCAUGUGUUAAAAUGGCUGUAUGAAUGGAUCCAUUUUCAAUUACAUACUAUUGGUGACAACAGCUUUGUGUUAGGAACACUGUGGCUGCGUGACUUCUGUCGUGUAUCCCUACACAACACCACAGCAAUGAACAUGUGGCCUGCAAACACAAAGAGGGCAGUAACUUUGAAUUUGCAAGAUCAGAUGCAGAAGCAUCAUAUUAUUCACACUGUAUUAAAAUGGUGUGUGUGUAUGUUUUUGAUUUCCAUGAGCUGAAAGCCAUAAUCAAUAUUAAAACAAAAAAUGUUUCAAAUAUU